rnacentral:rRNA from 1 species
UACGUAGGGAGCAAGCGUUGUCCGGAAUCAUUGGGCGUAAAGCGCGCGUAGGCGGCCCUGUAAGUCCGUUGUGAAAGUCAAAGGCUCAACCUUUGAAAGCCGAUGGAUACUGCAGGGCUAGAGUCCGGAAGAGGCGAGUGGAAUUCCUGGUGUAGCGGUGGAAUGCGCAGAUAUCAGGAGGAACACCAAGAGCGAAGGCAGCUCGCUGGGACGGUACUGACGCUAAGGCGCGAAAGCGUGGGGAGCGAACAGG